UACGUAGGGGGCAAGCGUUGUCCGGAUUUAUUGGGCGUAAAGAGCUCGUAGGCGGUCCGUCACGUCGGAUGUGAAAUUCCAGGGCUCAACCCUGGACCUGCAUUCGAUACGGGCGGACUAGAGUUCGGUAGGGGAGACUGGAAUUCCUGGUGUAGCGGUGAAAUGCGCAGAUAUCAGGAGGAACACCGGUGGCGAAGGCGGGUCUCUGGGCCGAUACUGACGCUGAGGAGCGAAAGCGUGGGGAGCGAACAGG
rnacentral:rRNA from 1 species